CAGGAGGCCCGAGUGUGCCAGUCAUCAGUACUUACAGCUCCUUCCUCGUGCGGGACACUGCUGGGGUUGGGGCGUGGCAGGCGGUGAGGUGGAGGGUCCCAGCUCCUGAGCUCCAGCCUUCGAGGGAGACAGACUCAUGAAUCACCACCGUGCAAGUGCUGGGAAUAUUCCUGGGACAGGGAGCACACAUGGAGGCCUCUCCACGCCCAAGGAAGGGAAGGGACAGCACUGGAGGCACCAAACGGACAAGAGUUCGGUGCAGCUCAGAAACUGAAACAGCGAAUCAAAGUUUUCUGUUUGCUGCAGCAUCUUUCCUGCUGGAGUCUGUCAAUGCUCUGAGUGCAAGAUGAGA
rnacentral:lncRNA from 1 species